rnacentral:rRNA from 1 species
GGGCCCGCACAAGCGGUGGAGUAUGUGGUUUAAUUCGAUGCAACGCGAAGAACCUUACCAGGGUUUGACAUCCUGCGAAUUUCUGGGAAACCGGAAAGUGCCUUCGGGAGCGCAGUGACAGGUGGUGCAUGGCUGUCGUCAGCUCGUGUCGUGAGAUGUUGGGUUAAGUCCCGCAACGAGCGCAACCCACGUCUUUAGUUGCCAGCAUUUAGUUGGGCACUCUAGAGAGACCGCCGGUGAUAAACCGGAGGAAGGUGUGGAUGACGUCAAGUCAUCAUGCCCCUUACAUCCUGGGCUACACACGUACUACAAUGCUACGGACAAAGGGCAGCAAACUCGCGAGAGCUAGCAAAUCCCAUAAACCGUGGCUCAGUUCAGAUCGUAGGCUGCAACUCGCCUACGUGAAGGAGGAAUCGCUAGUAAUCGCAGGUC